rnacentral:rRNA from 2 species
AUAACGACUCUCGGCAACGGAUAUCUCGGCUCUCGCAUCGAUGAAGAACGUAGCGAAAUGCGAUACUUGGUGUGAAUUGCAGAAUCCCGUGAACCAUCGAGUCUUUGAACGCAAGUUGCGCCCGAAGUCAUUAGGCCGAGGGCACGCCUGCCUGGGUGUCUCGCA